GCGAGAGUGGUGGAAUGGUAGACACGCUAGAUUUAGGAUCUAGUGCCUUCGGGCGUGCGGGUUCGAGUCCCGCCUCUCGCA
rnacentral:tRNA from 2 species